UAGUAGCGGCGAGCGAAAAGAAAACAGUUCAGCACUAAGUUACUUUACUUUGAGAGUAAGUGUAAGAUGCAGUGUAUGGAACUUCUAAGAUCUAGUAUGAAUAUUAACGAUUUAAGUCCUUCUUGAAUGAGGCCAUUUAUAUCCAUAGAGGGUGCCAGGCCCGUAUAACGUUAAUGAUUACUAGAAGAUGUUUCCAAAGAGUCGUGUUGCUUGAUAGUGCAGCACUAAGUUGGUGGUAAACUCCAUCUAAAACUAAAUAUAACCAUGAGACCGAUAGUAAACAAGUACCGUGAGGGAAAGUUGAAAAGAACUCUGAAUAGAGAGUUAAAUAGUACGUGAAACUGCUUAGGGGUUAAGCCCGAUGAACCUGAAUAUCCAAUUAUGGAAAAUUCAACAUUAGUAUUUGCAAAUGAAAUUUUCAUUUGUGAAGAAUAGUGUGCACUUUUUCCAUAUUAAGGACAUUGUAAUCUAUUAACAUUUAUAUUAUAUAUUUAUCAAAAGAUCAUAUUGCUUUUAAAGUUUAUUCAAAUUAAUUUAUUUAUUAAAUUAACAUAGAAUAAGUGCAAAAUGAUUUGAUAAAGUGUUGAUAGAAUUUAAUAAUAUAUAGUGCUUAUUAAGUUUACUUAAUUAAAGGAUAUUGUACAUUAUAUAUGUAUGAUAUUGUUUAUGCACUAAUAUGAUUAACAAUGCGUAAGAUUCAGGAUACCUUCGGGACCCGUCUUGAAACACGGACCAAGGAGUCUAACAUAUGUGCAAGUUAUUGGGAUUUAAAAAUUUGUUUACAAAUUUUUAUAUUAAAAUGAAACCCAAAAGCGUAAAUAACUUGACUUUUAUAAAUGGGAUUAAUUUUUAGAAAUUUUAUAUUCUAAUUAUUCAAUCCCGGGGCGUUCUUUAUAGUUAUGUAUAAUAGUAUUUUAAAUAUUAUUUAUACCUCUAACUGGAGCGUACCUUGAGCAUAUAUGCUGUGACCCGAAAGAUGGUGAACUAUACUUGAUCAGGUUGAAGUCAGGGGAAACCCUGAUGGAAGACCGAAACAGUUCUGACGUGCAAAUCGAUUGUCAGAAUUGAGUAUAGGGGCGAAAGACCAAUCGAACCAUCUAGUAGC
rnacentral:rRNA from 1 species